rnacentral:rRNA from 1 species
AUGAGCUUCCAAGAGGAGAGGGUGGUGGAUUUUAGAUAUCUGCAGUCCAACAUUACAUAUCAGCAACAAUGCAGAAGUGAACUAGUGGCUGAUAUGAAGGCAGAGAUGGCAAAGAAAGAUGCAGAGUCUGAGAAGCUUAAUCAGAAGUAUGAACUGCUGGUGAACCUGACAAGAGCACAAGCAACAGUCAUCCAGAACUUGAAGUUCAAGAAUAUGACAGACAAGCAAUUGCUUGGUGAAGCUAAGAUUAACUUGGAGUUGAAGAAUGCAGAGCUCACAAAGUCCGAGGAGAAGCUCACCCAAGGUAAGAUAGAGUUGAAGUUUUAG